rnacentral:rRNA from 1 species
AUUGAACGCUGGCGGCAGGCCUAACACAUGCAAGUCGAGCGAGCGGCGGACGGGUGAGUAAUGUAUGGGGACUGCCCGAUAUAGGGGGAUAACUACUGGAAAAGGUAGCUAAUAUCGCAUAAUCUCGGCUAACACCCAUGGGGUUAGCGAGUAGGAGCGGUAAUGGCUCACCUAGGCGACGAUUCCUAGAUGGUGUGAGAGGAUGAUCAGCCACACUGGGACUGAGACACGGCCCAGACUCCUACGGAGGCAGCAGGGGGGAAUAUUGCACAAUUGGCGCAAGCCUGAUGCAGCCAUGCCGCGUGUAUGAAGAAGGCCCGAGGGUUGUAAAGUACUUUCAGUCGGGAGGCGUUACCGACAGAAGAAGCACCGGCUAACUCCGUGCCAGCAGCCGCGGUAAUUC